rnacentral:rRNA from 1 species
UCUGGUUCAGAACGAACGCUGGUAGCGUGGAUUAGGCAUGCAAGUCGAACGGGAUCCGGAAGGCAGCAAUGUCGGCCGGUGAGAGUGGCGGAAGGGCGAGGAACACGUGAGCAACCUGUCUUUGAGGUGGGGGAAAACCUCGGGAAACUGAGGCUAAUACCGAAUGUGGCGCGGAAGGGCAUCCUUCCUGCGCUAAAGGGGGCGAAAGCUCCCCCUCUUCGAGGGGCUCGCGCACCAUCAGCUAGUUGGCGGGGUAACGGCCCACCAAGGCUCACGGUUAGCUGGUCUGAGAGGAUGGCCAGCCGCACUGGGACUGAGAUACUGCCCAGACUCCUACGGGAGGCUGCAGUCGAGGAUCAUUCGCAAUGGGCGAAAGCCUGACGAUGCGACGCUGCGUGGAGGAUGAAGGCCUUCGGGUUGUAAACUCCUGUCAUGAGGGAAAAGGAGACCUUACCUAAUACGUAGGGGAUUUGAUGGUACCUCAAGAGGAAGGGACGGCUAACUCUGUGCCAGCCGCGGC